ACCAAUUAUUCUGAAACUCCACUCUUCUUCAUUUUUUCUGAAAUUCCUUCUCAAGUUUUGAACUUUUUAAGAAAAACUUGAAAUCUCGUCUAUAUCUUAUAAAGCUAGAAGCUCAUCUAUAUAUUUCUUUGAAAACUGUAAGAUCAUUUUGCUUUUUUUAGGGAAAGAUCAUUCUGCUUUUGGAAGUUGGUUAGAUAAAACCGAAAGCUACUUGGACUAGAAGCGCCCAAAUAACAUUGGUGCACCGUUAUUUAAUCUAUUUAUUUAAAAUUCUCGGAACAACCGCAAGGUGAAAAUACAAAAAAGAGAGAAAAGAAGAUAAAAACGUACCAGAAUUGAAAACACACGGGUUGCGAA
rnacentral:lncRNA from 1 species